rnacentral:rRNA from 1 species
UUGAACGCUGGCGGCAUGCUUUACACAUGCACGUCGAACGGCAGCGCGGGCUCCGGCCUGGCGGCGAGUGGCGAACGGGUGAGUAAUACAUCGGAACGUGCCCAGUAGUGGGGGAUAGCUCGGCGAAAGCCGGAUUAAUACCGCAUACGACCUGAGGGUGAAAGCGGGGGAUCUUCGGACCUCGCGCUAUUGGAGCGGCCGAUGGCAGAUUAGCUAGUUGGUGGGGUAAAGGCCUACCAAGGCGACGAUCUGUAGCUGGUCUGAGAGGACGACCAGCCACACUGGGACUGAGACACGGCCCAGACUCCUACGGGAGGCAGCAGUGGGGAAUUUUGGACAAUGGGCGAAAGCCUGAUCCAGCAAUGCCGCGUGUGUGAUGAAGGCCUUCGGGUUGUAAAGCACUUUUGGCGGGAACGAAAAGGACUGUGCCAAUACCACGGUUCGAUGACGGUACCCGCAGAAUAAGCACCGGCUAACUACGUG